rnacentral:miRNA from 1 species
GAAAUGCCUCAAUGAGAUCCAGCUGUAAGGCAUUUUCUCAAUUAGUGAUCAAUGGAGGAGGAACCAGCCCAUGGUGGGUGAUGCCAUCCCUGGGCUGACGGUCCUG